rnacentral:rRNA from 1 species
GACGAACGCUGGCGGCGUGCUUAACACAUGCAAGUCGAACGAAGAGCGAUGGAAGCUUGCUUCUAUCAAUCUUAGUGGCGCACGGGUGAGUAACGCGUAAUCAACCUGCCCUUCAGAGGGGGACAACAGUUGGAAACGACUGCUAAUACCGCAUACGAUCUAAUCUCGGCAUCGAGGAUAGAUGAAAGGUGGCCUCUACAUGUAAGCUAUCACUGAAGGAGGGGAUUGCGUCUGAUUAGCUAGUUGGGGGGGUAACGGCCCACCAAGGCGAUGAUCGGUAGCCGGUCUGAGAGGAUGGACGGCCACCUUGGGACUGGGACACGGCCCAGACUCCUACGGGAGGCAGCAGUGGGGAAUCUUCCGCAAUAGAGGAAAGUCUGACGGAGCAACGCCGCGUGAGUGAUGACGGCCUUCGGGUUGUAAAGCUCUGUUAAUCGGGACGAAAGGCCUUCUUGCGAAUAGUGAGAAGGAUUGACGGUACCGGAAUAGAAAGCCACGGCUAACUACGUG